ACUGGGCCUUGACCGUGUGUGGAUGAAGUCCCAGCAUGCCUGACUUCAUCUUCCUCCUCCCUUAGCAUGUCAGUUCCUCAUUCCUGCAUGUGUGUAUCUGUUUGUCUGUCCAUUUUCUCCUUAGGACUCACAGAGCAGGUACCACCUUGGAAUUUGCUAUGAGAAAGGCCUUGGUGUGCAGAGGAAUCUGGGAGAGGCCUUGAGAUGUUACCAGCAGUCAGCCGCUCUGGGAAAUGAGGCCGCCCAGGAGAGGCUGCGAGCCCUCUUUUCCAUGGGGGCUGCAGGCUGGAGUGCAAUAGCGCGAUCUCGGCUCACUGCAACCUCUGCCUCCCGGGUUCAAGCGAUUCUCCUGCCUCAGCCUCUCAAGUAGCUGGGAUUACAGGCACCCACCACGAUCCCUGGCUAAUUUUUUGUAUUUUUAGUAGAGUCUGGGUUUCACCAUGUUGGCCAGGCUGGUUUUGAACUCCUGACCUCAGGCGAUCCACCCGCCUCGGCCUCCCAAAGUGCUGGGAUUACAAGUGUGAGCCACCGCGCCCAGUCAAACCUGAGUUUUAACCCCCACUAUCACUGAACUUGGACUCCAUGGCUUAGUGCCUCAGUUUCUUCACCUCUGAAAAUGAAGGUAAUGGUAGCACCUAACUCAUUAAGUUGUCAUAAGGAUGAAAUGAGAUGACACUAAGGGACUUAGCACAGCCUGACAGCACAGUAGGUAUUGAACAAAUGGUAGCUGCUCUGAUGAUUUUGUAGGAGAGACAAUAUCCCAAGGUUGCCUGAAUUACCCUUCUAGGGCUCUAAGAGCCCUGCUCACUCAUGAGUCACUGGGGUUGGGAGUUAACAAUGCCUGGGGAACCAAGCCCUUGAAGAAGUGCUGGCUCCAAAGUAGGAGUCCAAGAAUAUACAGCAAGAGUAAGAGUUGCUCUCACCUCUUCUUGUAGCCCCGGGGCCCAGCGACCUGACAGUUACAGGACUGAAGUCUUUCUCCAGCCCCUCCCUCUGCAGCUUGAACACCCUGCUAGCAGGAACCUCACGCCUACCACAUGCCUCGAGCACAGGCAACCUUGGCCUCCUCUGCAGAAGUGGGCAUCUCGGAGCCAGCCUGGAAGCCUCCAGCAGGGCUAUUCCCCCACACCCCUACCCACUGGAAAGGAGUGUUGUAAGACUAGGUUUUGGCUAAGGUGAGAUAAAACAUAGUCCCUGGUGCCUCUUAGGGGCCAGAGCGGGCAGGAGGUUGGAUAACAAAAAUAGAGCAUCAGCAACCCUUUCCAGGUAGAAAUUCCAGCGGGAGUUCAGGUUCCCAAGCAAUUUCACGUACAUGGCUGGUAAGUGACUGAUCUUUCCCCCCGCUUGGUAGCCUCACAGAUGAGUCUUGGAUGCAUUCACAGUCAUUUCUGGUCUGUGCACCAAAGGAUGCAUUCAGUGACCUAUGAAAAACCCUACUGAAGGGUCCAGAGACCCUGGUGCUCACCUUAGCCUUUGUCUUUGAGCAAAUAACUUACCUUCUUCCUUCUUAUGCCUGGGUUUUCUCACACUUAAAUCUGUACUACUGUUUGCCAAUGUCUGAUGUGUGUAUCCCUGGUUCACAAGAAGAUUUUAGAUGGUAUUCAAAUUAAUAUUUUCUAUUUAGUUAUAUAUUUAAUGUAUAAUAUAAAAAUAUGAUUAGCAUAUUGACCUGUAGUUUGAUAGAUGUUCUGUCUAGGAUAAAGCUAACUGUAAAAAAAAAUAGUGAAUCAGUUUAAAGAAAAACAUAACGUAAAAGUGGGCACAGAUCCAGAGAGGUAGCAAAAAUCACAGGGGUGGUUCCAUGAAUGGCUGACACUUAGGAAACUCUGAAUUAGGCCAUCCUCGAGACUAGCCCACCAUUCACCUCUGUUCAUCCCCCGUGGGCUCAUAAUCGUUUUCAUUUCACCUUUGAUUUGGAAGGAAGAAGUUUCUUGCCCAAAUGCCUGGAUGUGUCUGCUUGACUUUCAGAACUUCUCACCUCAGCCCUAAAGAGGGAGCCUGUGGGUUCUCAGAGAGAUAUCACAAUUUGAGUCCCAAAGAAGAGGCCAGAUACCCACCCACCUUCCCCCAAAUCUUAAGCACCUGCGCCAGUACAGUCAAGAAGAGGAAAGUGUGUGAAGACCCAGGUCUGGCUCUGCCACUUGCCUGGCCAUGUCACCUUGAAGCUGUGACCUGACUCCCUAUAUUGUUUCCUCAGUUGUAGACCAAAGGCAAUGGUGUCUGCCCUCCUACCUUAGAAGACAAAUGCAAGGGCAUUUCACCACAGAGAGGACCUUUGUGCUCACUUUGGCCCAGGAGGCAGUGAUGCUCAUGGUUGCAUGACUUUAUGAGUCGCUGGGCCAGGGUGAGGACCUGGGCCUCCUGACUCCUGGCCCAGAGUUCUUGUCCAUCAGUUCAUACUGCAAUUUUAUGUGAAAGCAUUAUGACUGUCCUACCCAUGGGAGAGUAAAUGUAGAUUGAAUGCUAGGAGUCUUAAAGCUGGAGAGUAUAGAUUUUGAGGUCCCCAUUUGGGAAACAUGUGCCAGAAAUGUCUAG
rnacentral:lncRNA from 10 species